rnacentral:lncRNA from 1 species
AAACCACAAAUAUGUGUGAUGAACUGUUUUUAAAACUUAAACUUCAAAUAAAAAUUGUAAACUUCAAAACAUAUGCAAAUUUUUAACAAAGAACAUAGUGAUUUACCUCUAUUUACAUCAAAAUGCAGGCAAUGGCCCAGGCGUUCUUUGUAAAAUUAUUUACAAAACACUGUAUAGUCUCACAAAUGUCACUUUUUAUUUAUGCCACUACAAAAAAACAUGAUGUAAAUGAUGCAUGAUGUAAAACAUGAUGUAAAAAACUUGUGUAGAUCCUCUUGUAUGUCAGUCCAUGUGUAAUUUUUCCAUAAUUCUUUGUUUUUUGCAGCAUUUUUGUUAGUGUAACUGCAGAUUGUGCUGACAGUGUCUAUGGCACAAAAAAAAAAAAUUAAAAUGCCUCAACAUGAACCCCUGGUGGUCUCUGAGGGUGAAACCUGCUAACUGCUGCAGCUCUGUCAGCUUCAGUCUCCCAUGCAGAGCUCUGAGCGCAUGUGUGGCUCUGCACCCUUAGCAGCGUUGCUAACUCCUCAGUAAGGAAAGCCUGCUUCAUGUCAGAGUCUCUAAACUCCAGAAGAAGUCGAUAAAAGUCCCUUUCUUUCUAAAAAAAGUCGUUAGGGGGUCUGAAAAGUCAUUGAAUCUAACAACAAAGUCGCUAGGUUUGCAACUACGUGUCCCAGACUGCAUCCCUGCUGAGAGUCCCUCCCUCCUUCUCAUGUUGCAGGAAGAACGUAAGCGCCCGCCCCUUGUCAAUCAGUCACCAUAUAAUUUUGGAUUGGUUGUUGUGGUGAAGUUUUCCACCAAUAGGAGAGAUGUUGUGGUGUGUUUUUUUUUUCUUUUGGCAAGCCUUUUCCGCCUGUAAGAGCUGUCGCUAAUGUCUGCAUGCUAUGUUUUCCUGUCUCAUACAGCGCGAUCGAGCGCCGAACGUGAUCAAAAUAAGCAGAAAAAAAGUAUCGCGGACAUAAUUUAUCAUAACUCUGGUUUUAUUUGGCCUAUCAACACAAUUUAAAAACUGGUAUAUAGGUUGAGGUCCUCACUUUUGAGAUAAGUUGAAACGGAGAGUCAACGAGGCUCCGUCUUGCAGCUACAUCCGGUUAAAUAUGUCAUGUGACUUGAACGCACACACAGACACACACACGCACACACACACACACACACACACACACACACACACACUCAGAGUCUGGUUUUUAGCACCUGCAAAAACAUGCUAUUUACAUAUUUGACAAGAAUGCAGAGGCUCCUUUUGCCCCUGAAAAAAAUCAAAUUUCAAACACAACUUGACUGCUCAUUUCUCCAAAAGACAACCAUGAAGCUCCAUCCAAACCUGAAGCAGGCAGUUGGUGCAUGUGUACAGUAACCUGAGGGGAGUGAGGUGAGUGCUUCUGAGGAGAACAUGAGCAGUGAAGAUUCACCUUGGAGCUAGAACAGAGACAUGCACAUGAUUAUACAGGGGCAGGGGCUCAAGUUUUUUCCAGUCGUUUAUACAAUAUGGAAAUUAAUGUGAAAUUAAAACACAAAGUAUUAAUAGAAAGGUAAUGACUGUCCUGUGUAGGUGACAGUGAUAUCCAAUAGGCUAGGCACUCACGAGGCUGGCUGUGGCAAGUGUAAGUGAAAGCAACACGCACUGGCAGGAAGAACAGCAAACGCCGAUGAAGGAAAAGGGUCUUUGCAGUGAUGGGCGUUACCAGAGAGGGCGAUGGCCAGAGGACACAAAUGGGACGGGGAGGCAGCACGUUGGGGGGGCGCGACACGGCUCGGGCCCGCCAGUGCCCCAACGGGGUCCUAGUUAUUUUUCCUCCCCUUUGAACUGGAAAAUGGCCCACUUCCCACUGGCGAAAACUCAUGAAAUUUGGCAGGACGACCGGGCCUGGUGAAAAAUUUGAUAUUCCGAAGUCGCCCAAACAAGAAAAUGCAAAAUGGCUCCAUAGCGCCCCCUAAGGUGAAAAUUCACACUAUUGACUGUCACGCCUGUACGCUUUGUCAAAAUGACACAAAAAUUGACACACACAUGUAUCUCAAUAAGAUCUACAAAAAAGUCAGUGCGGGCGUAUCUGUCAAAUGUACGGUUAAAGGGUUAUUUCGCAUUUUUUGCCGAUCCGCACACAUUGGAAUUUCGCUAACUCCUCCGAAGGCUUUCGUUCCACCGGCACCACAUUUGCUCAGGCCAAUCUACACCCCAUGGCCAUUAAAAGUUAUUCAAAUCAUGACGCUGCACCCCACGGUUUAGGUUCUAGGGGGCGCCAAAGAUAACCCUAAGAUCCACAUAUUUAAAAGUCUUAUAACUUUUUAUUUUUGCCCUCACUGGCCUCCAAGUUUUCUAGGAUGAUGCAAUGUCCAGCCAUCAACACAUUUGUGAAGGAAUUUUUACUCCCCAAAAGAGCGCCCCCCAUGGCAGGAGAAAAAAGUCCAUUUUUUCUUGUCCCCUAAGGUGAAAAUACACAUUGUUGAGUGUAACACCUGUACGCUUUGGCAAAAUGACACAAAAAUUGACACACACAUGUAUCUCAAUAAGAUCUACGAAAAAGUCAAUGCGGGCGUAUCUGUUAAAUGUACGGUUAAAGGGUUAUUCUGCAUUUUUUGCCGAUCCGCACACAUUGGAAUUUCGCUAACUCCUCCGAAGGCUUUCGUUCCACCGGCUCCACAUUUGCUCAGGCCAAUCUACACCCCAUGGCCAUUAAAAGUUAUUCAAAUCAUGACGCUGCACCCCACGGUUUAGGUUCUAGGGGGCGCCAAAUAUAACCCUAAAAUCCACAUAUUUAAAAGUCUUAUAACUUUUUAUUUUUGUCCCCACUGGCCUCCAAGUUUUCUAGGAUGAUGCAAUGUCCAGCCAUCGACACAUUUGUGAAGGAAUUUUUACUCGCCAAAAGAGCGCCCCCCCAUGGCAGGAGAAAAAAGUCCAUUUUUUCUUGUCCACUAAGGUGAAAAUACACAUUGUUGAGUGCUACGCCUGUAUGUUUUGUCGUAUUGACACAAAAUUUUACAUACACAUGUAUUUCAAUAAGAUCUUCGAAAAAGUCAAGGGCCAGGUAUCUGUAAAAUGUACGGUUAAAGGGUUAUUUUGCAUUUUUUGCAGAUUCGCACACAUUGGAAUUUCGCUAACUCCUCAGAAGGCUUUCGUUCCACCGGCACCACAUUUGCUCAGGCCAAUCUACACCCCAUGGCCAUUAAAAGUUAUUCAAAUCAUGACGCUGCACCCCACGGUUUAGGUUCUAGGGGGCGCCAAAGAUAACCCUAAAAUCCACAUAUUUAAAAGUCUUAUAACUUUUUAUUUUUGUCCUCACUGGCCUCCAUGUUUUCUAGGAUGAUGCAAUGUCCAGCCAUCAACACAUUUGUGAAGGAGUUUUUCUCGUUAAAAGAGCCCCCCCCAUGGCAGGAGAAUAAAGUCAAGUUUUUCCUGUUCAUCAUUCAAUGGCUCAAACGCACUGCUCUCUCGGCAAAAGCGAAAGGAGGAGCAACUUGCCAUUUGGAUAUAUCUUAGCUGUGUUUGUGCCCUCACUCAUGGUCCAGACUUUUUUCAAAUAGGACAUGGAGUUUUUCUGCAGCGAGCGCUUUGGUAGAAACUGCGCCUCCCGUUCAUUAUAAUGGUAAAUGACCACAAACAAGUGCGCACACCAUCUUUGGACCUUGAGUGUGACGCGAUCGGGUGGGGGAGGCGGUCGCGCUGGGGGCGGCGUGACACGGCUCGGGCCCGCCAGUGCCCCAACGGGGCCCUAGUUUCUUCUUUUUCCUCCCCUUUGAACUGGAAAAUGGCCCACUUCCCACUGGCGAAAACUCAUGAAAUUUGGCAGGACGACCGGGCCUGGUGAAAAAUUUGAUAUUCCGAAGUCGCCCAAACAAGAAAAUGCAAAAUGGCUCCAUAGCGCCCCCUAAGGUGAAAAUUCACACUAUUGACUGUCACGCCUUUAAGCUUUGUCAUAUUGACACAAAAAUUGACACACACAUGUAUCUCAAUAAGAUCUACAAAAAAGUCAGUGCGGGCGUAUCUGUCAAAUGUACGGUGAAAGGGUUAUUCCGCAUUUUUUGCCGAUCCGCACACAUUGGAAUUUCGCUAACUCCUCCGAAGGCUUUCGUUCCACCGGCACCACAUUUGCUCAGGCCAAUCUACACCCCAUGGCCAUUAAAAGUUAUUCAAAUCAUGACGCUGCACCCCACGGUUUAGGUUCUAGGGGGCGCCAAAGAUAACCCUAAAAUCCACAUAUUUCAAAGUCUUAUAACUUUUUAUUUUUGCCCUCACUGGCCUCCAAGUUUUCUAGGAUGAUGCAAUGUCCAGCCAUCAACACAUUUGUGAAGGAAUUUUUAAUCCCCAAAA